rnacentral:rRNA from 1 species
UUUUAGAUAAUAAUUUAAAGUCUAAUNUGCCCACUGAUAAAUUAUAUUAAAGGGCUGCAGUAUAUUGACUGUACAAAGGUAGCAUAAUCAAUAGUCUUUUAAUUGAAGACUUGUAUGAAAGAUUUGAUGAGAUAUAAACUGUCUCUAAUUUAUUUAUAGAAAUUAAUUUUUUAGUUAAAAAGCUAAAAUUUAUUUAAAAGACGAGAAGACCCUAUAGAGUUUUAUAUUUAUAUUAUUUAAGAUUAUAUUUAUAAUUAAAAAUUAAAAAUAAAAUAAAUAUUUUAUUGGGGUGAUAGAAAAAUUAAGAAAACUUUUUUUAUAUAAAAACAAAAAUAAUUGAAAGAUUGAUCCAUAAUUUAUGAUUAAAAGAAAAAAUUACCUUAGGGAUAACAGCGUAAUAUUUUUUUUUAGUACAAAUAAAAAAAAAAGUUUGCGACCUCGAUGUUGGAUUAAGAUAAAAUUUAAAUGCAAAAGUUUAAAAUUUUGAUCUGUUCGAUCAUUAAAAUCUUACAUGAUCU